rnacentral:tRNA from 2 species
GCGGGCGUGGCGGAAUGGUAGACGCUGCAGACUUAAAAUCUGUUUCUCGUAAGGGAGUGGGGGUUCGAGUCCCCCCGCCCGCACCA